GACGAACGCUGGCGGCGUGCUUAACACAUGCAAGUCGAACGGAAAGGCCCUGCUUUUGUUGGGUGCUCGAGUGGCGAACGUGUGAGUAACACGUGAGUAACCUGCCCUUGACUUUGGGAUAACUUCAGGAAACUGGGGCUAAUACCGGAUAGGAGCUCCUGCUGCAUGGUGGGGGUUGGAAAGUUUCGGCGGUUGGGGAUGGACUCGCGGCUUAUCAGCUUGUUGGUUGGGUAGUGGCUUACCAAGGCUUUGACGGGUAGCCGGCCUGAGAGGGUGACCGGCAAAAUUGGGACUGAGAUACGGCACAGACUACUACGGGAGGCAGCAGUGGGGAAUAUUGCACAAUGGGAGGAAGCCUGAUGAAGAAACGCAGCGUGCGGGAUGACGGCCUUCGGGUUGUAAACAGAUUUAGAAUGUGACGAAGCGUGAGUGACGGUAAUGGGUAAAGAAGCACCGGCUAACUACGUG
rnacentral:rRNA from 1 species